CGGCUACACAUGCAGUCGAACGGUAACAGGAAGCAGCUUGCUGCUUUGCUGACGAGUGGCGGACGGGUGAGUAAUGUCUGGGAAACUGCCUGAUGGAGGGGGAUAACUACUGGAAACGGUAGCUAAUACCGCAUAACGUCUUCGGACCAAAGAGGGGGACCUUCGGGCCUCUUGCCAUCGGAUGUGCCCAGAUGGGAUUAGCUUGUUGGUGGGGUAACGGCUCACCAAGGCGACGAUCCCUAGCUGGUCUGAGAGGAUGACCAGCCACACUGGAACUGAGACACGGUCCAGACUCCUACGGGAGGCAGCAGUGGGGAAUAUUGCACAAUGGGCGCAAGCCUGAUGCAGCCAUGCCGCGUGUAUGAAGAAGGCCUUCGGGUUGUAAAGUACUUUCAGCGGGGAGGAAGGCGAUGAGGUUAAUAACCUUGUCCAUUGACGUUACCCGCAGAAGAAGCACCGGCUAACUCCGUGCCAGCAGCCGCGGUAAUACGGAGGGUGCAAGCGUUAAUCGGAAUUACUGGGCGUAAAGCGCACGCAGGCGGCGUGUCAAGUCGGAUGUGAAAUCCCCGGGCUCAACCCGGGAACUGCAUUCGAAACUGGCAUGCUAGAGUCUUGUAGAGGGGGGUAGAAUUCCAGGUGUAGCGGUGAAAUGCGUAGAGAUCUGGAGGAAUACCGGUGGCGAAGGCGGCCCCCUGGACAAAGACUGACGCUCAGGUGCGAAAGCGUGGGGAGCAACAGGAAACCCCCCCC
rnacentral:rRNA from 1 species